rnacentral:rRNA from 1 species
AUUGAACGCUGGCGGCAGGCCUAACACAUGCAAGUCGAACGAGUGGCGGACGGGUGAGUAAUGUCUGGGAAACUGCCUGAUGGAGGGGGAUAACUACUGGAAACGGUAGCUAAUACCGCAUACCAUCGGAUGUGCCCAGAUGGGAUUAGCUAGUAGGUGGGGUAAAGGCUCACCUAGGCGACGAUCCCUAGCUGGUCUGAGAGGAUGACAGUCAACACUGGAACUGGGACACGGUCCAGACUCCUACGGGAGGCAGCAGUGGGGAAUAUUGCACAAGGGGGGCAAGCCUGAUGCAGCCAUGCCGAGUGUAUGAAGAAGUCCUUGGGGUUGUAAAGUACUUUCAGCGGGGAGGCGUUACCCGCAGAAGAAGCACCGGCUAACUCCGUGCCAGCAGCCGCGGUAAUUC